AAUAUUAUGACGAGGUCGAGAGAAAGCUCACGCUCGUCACUAACAAAGUGGUCAUGACUCAUAAUGAGGAGGCAGCUACCAUUCUCAACGAGGAAAUUAGGAAUGAUGCUUUACACGCAUUCAUAGCGGGCCUCAAGAGGCCGCUAAAAUUGUUCGUUCUCCCGGCACAGCCCAAGGAUUUGCCAUCCGCCUUAGCUCUAGCUCGCGAGGCCGAAAAUAGCAUUGAGAGAAGCGCAUGCCGCUACGUAUGCAAAGGUGAUCGAGGAUAAAAACCAUAGACAGGCUCAUCGGGCCCAGGCCAGACAAGGUAGAGGUCAGGAAAAGAACCCAAAUUUUUUGGGAAAAAGUAAUCAAAAUAGGCAGCAACAGGGUGAUCCUUGGCCAAAGCCAAACGAUAAAGAGGCCCCACAACAAAACCAAGUGCAGCCUAUGGAAGUUGACCCAUCGAUGUCUAGGUUUAGGCAACAGACCAAUUGGGGGAAACCACAGAGCGACGUCACACAGGGCGAAGCUCAGAAAAGGCGGAACACGUCAGAUCGUAUAUCUGGGCAAAGACGCCAACGGAUAAAUAAUAUAAUACAGCAGGCCCCUAACCAAGGGGAACAAGAAUUUUUUAGGGAGCGCUCCUAAUUGUCGUUUGUCGAGCGACAGUUGGCUGGCAGAAAACUAAAAAUUGUAAUCGACACUGGUGCGGCUAAAAAUUACGUAAAGCCCGUAAAGGAGCUGAAAACCGUAACUUCGGUCGACACCCCCUUCACCGUGAGCUCGAUACAUGGCUCCAGUGAAAUAAAAAACAAGUGCCUAAUGAAUAUUUUCGGGCUAAGCGCCCCAUUUUUUUUGUUAGACACUCUAAGUACGUUUGAUGCCAUUAUAGGUUCCGAUUUGCUAACGCGAGCGGGAGCGGCAUUGAACCUGCGCAGCAGAACAAUCAGAUACGGAAACGCAACUGAACAACUUAGGUUCCACAACUGUGACAACGUAAAUUUUACCAAAGUCGAUGACCUGGUGGUCCCAGGCUCGGUAAAAUCCGAGUUCAAAAAGAUGAUACUGAAGAGAAUUCGACCUCUAACGAGGCGCUUCCUUUUAACAUCUCGAGGCAGAACAGAGUCUUUGAAGUGGGCGAAAAGGUUUACCCAAGGAAUAACAAAAGACUAGGAAACAAGCUAACCCCGCUGUACUCAGAAGAACGGGUACAAGCGGACCUUGGAACGGCCGUUCUAAUUAGGGGGAGGGUAAAAGGGGGGAGGUGUAAAACUUUUGUUUUACAGAUUUAAGGUAUCAUUCCCGCAGGUUUGACGGAAUAAUCUUCCUACUCCCUUCUACUACAACUGCGCGGAUCACCGCCUUUUAUACCGUUAAAAUGUUGGAGUUGUUCCCACAUUCAGAUAUAGAAAAUAAAAAAAUCCGUUGUCCCCUUUAAUGAUACAUGGCCAGAAGCCUAGACUUCCUGAUAACAGCAUUAAAGGUCGUAGCAAGUACCCCCGACGAGUUGGGCUUCGAAAAAAUAGCAGCUUGUAGAAUCAAACAAUAGACUGAUUAACUGAGUACUGAUUAACACAGAGGCACAGAAACAGGAUGCUAAUUUCGGAAGUCCAAAUCUCAUGAUUACGAUCACACUUGCCAAAGCGAAUAUCCCACUAAGACCUAAAAUCUAUUUUUACCGAGCAGCUCACAGAGGUCCCAGUAGCUUAUUUGUUGGAAGUAUAUAAGAAUAUACGAAUUUUUCAUUUCAUAUUUAAGUAGAAUACCCCCAGGUUAAAAUUAUCUUUAUGUCGCGAAGUACACGCCGGCGGCUCUGCUUCAUGACGCACGCAACCCACCUGGCCACCACCAUCCUGUUUCAUCAAUGCUGUAGUAGUGGACGAUGGCAAAAUCAUUAUAAAUGGGCAGCGAGCAACGGUCAGCGUUGACAAUGGACCCCUAAGGACGACAAGAGAGGCCCACCUCAUCACGUUCGAAGACAGAACCGUGAUCAACAGCCCCCUGUUUUUAAACCUCAACAAAGCAUUGAGGAAAGUUUCAGGAAUCGUAGCUUCGCCUUUGCUGUCAAAAACGGGGCACGAUGAAAUCCUAAGCCUACCACGACUACAAUCGAUGAACGAGCACAAUCUAAGGGCCAUCCAAGAACUUAGAAGCGACAUGACAUCCGGUGGGUCACCCAAGACCUGGUUCAUUGCAGGAGCCUCAUGGCGGUCAGCCUCAAGCUCUGUGGCCUUAUCCUGUUGCAUCAAUGCUGGAGUCGAAGGAACUCCUCAAUCAAGUUGCAAAAGGUCAUCAGAGAGAUAGGUAUCGCCGAGGACGGAGAUGAUUUAAGGGGGGAGUAGUUAACACAUAAGCAAUAACAUGGGACACCCUAACUUAGCGCACAAGAAAUGUGAAAUAUCAUGUGCCGCCCUAACUUAUCCAGUCCGAUACGGAGGGCGCCGAUGCAGUAGAUGCCGUUGCAGCGGGCGGCUCUGUUAUCUGAUUGGGCGCCAGCGAUCGCAUGAUCUUGUUUAUGCGUAGGCGGCUCUUAUCUCUUGUGAGCGCGGACGGCUCGCCGGCUAGGUUUCGGUGUAGGUUUAGAAGUAAGCUUUAGUUUAGAAUUGGACGAAUAAAUGAACGGAGCGUUCAUAUCAACUCCGACACGAGUCGUAAAACGUGUAUUGAUAUAAUCAUAUUGUUGAGCCUUAAGGGCCAACGAAAUAGAGGGCAAUUACCCUCUCAACAUAAUCUUCGGUAGAAGACUCAGUUGCCAACCGCAACCACCGUCCCCCGCUACAAGAGCGGGCCACGGGAACCCGAUCGCUGCCGCCGGAGC
rnacentral:lncRNA from 1 species